CAAGGUCUUAGUGCAUUGUACGGAGCUGGAUUUCUUACUACCCACAUUACACUUGUGAGCACACCUGCUGUGAGCACUGCUGCUUCCAAAUGUCUCCAAAGAAAGAGAGUCUCCACCCUGACAAGAUCCUGCAGGAAGAUAUAUCCUUUGGGGCAGGUCCCUGGGACACAGUCACCUCCUGUCCUGGCUUCUUGAUCUUCCACAGUGGUGGAUUCUGCUUGAGGAAUUGCCUCUCAAAACAGCAGCCAUUGCUCUCUGCUGCCCUGUUCAACAGGCAUGAGGAAGAAGAAAGAAGAAGAAGAUGAAGAAGAAGACGAAGAA